AAAAAAAAAAAAAAAACUCAAUUUUAACCAUCAAAAAACCAACUUUACAAAUUCAUAUAGCCAUAAUAAUCGAAAACAAAAGCCCAGACGAAAUCCCGAAUGCCAAAAACAAAAGAAAUAUUGUUCCUCAUUGUCUCUCUCUACAACCAGAACAUUACAGAGGUGAUGCAGACAGAGAUUAACGUUUAAUCUCCAAUCUCUUUCUGUGUCUUUUAUCUGAAAAAUGGUAUGAGAAGGAACGAAUUUUAUCGGGUGAAGCAAGGAUUAUAAAAUAAUCAUUUUGGUCUGGAAAGUGGCAUUCCAAAGAAUAACAUAAAGCAUGAAUGCCUGAUAUAAGGGGGAAAGGGAUGGCAGAUUUCAGACUUUUUGUUUUAUUUUUUUGAGAUUAUUUCUUUUCAAGUGAAAAAGAGAGAGGAUUAUUUUAAUUGAAUAAUUUAUCAAUUAUUAUUUUUC
rnacentral:misc_RNA from 1 species